rnacentral:rRNA from 1 species
UACGUAGGGUGCGAGCGUUAAUCGGAAUUACUGGGCGUAAAGGGCUCGUAGGCGGCCAACUAAGUCAGACGUGAAAUCCCUCGGCUUAACCGGGGAACUGCAUCUGAUACUGGAUGGCUUGAGUUCGGGAGAGGGAUGCGGAAUUCCAGGUGUAGCGGUGAAAUGCGUAGAUAUCGGGAGGAACACCUGUGGCGAAGGCGGCCAUCUGGACAGUCACUGACACUGAGACGCGAAAGCGUGGGUAGCAAACAGG